AUACGUAGGAACCAAGCGUUGUCCGGAUUUACUGGGCGUAAAGUGCGCGUAGGCGGUUCGUUGAGUCUCAUGUGAAAUCUCCCGGCUCAACUGGGAGGGGUCAUGGGAUACUGGCAGACUCGAGUGCAGCAGAGGGGAGCGGAAUUCCCGGAGUAGUGGUGGAAUGCGUAGAUACCGGGAGGAACACCAGAGGCGAAGGCGGCUCCCUGGGCUGUGUCUGACGCUGAGGCGCGAAAGCGUGGGUAGCAAACCGGAUUAGAAACCCGAGUAGUCC
rnacentral:rRNA from 1 species